UACGAAGGGGGCUAGCGUUGCUCGGAAUCACUGGGCGUAAAGCGCACGUAGGCGGCUUUCUAAGUCAGAGGUGAAAUCCUGGAGCUCAACUCCAGAACUGCCUUUGAUACUGGAGAGCUUGAGUUCGGGAGAGGUGAGUGGAACUGCGAGUGUAGAGGUGAAAUUCGUAGAUAUUCGCAAGAACACCAGUGGCGAAGGCGGCUCACUGGCCCGGUACUGACGCUGAGGUGCGAAAGCGUGGGGAGCAAACAGG
rnacentral:rRNA from 1 species